GACGAACGCUGGCGGCGUGCUUAACACAUGCAAGUCGAACGGAAAGGCCCUGCUUUUGUGGGGUGCUCGAGUGGCGAACGGGUGAGUAACACGUGAGUAACCUGCCCUUGACUUUGGGAUAACUUCAGGAAACUGGGGCUAAUCCCGGAUAGGAGCUCCUGCUGCAUGGUGGGGGUUGGAUAGUUUCGGCGGUUGGGGAUGGACUCGCGGCUUAUCAGCUUGUUGGUGGGGUAGUGGCUUACCAAGGCUUUGACGGGUAGCCGGCCUGAGAGGGUGACCGGCCACUUUGGGACUGGGAUACGGCCCAGACUCGUACGGGAGGCAGCAGUGGGGAAUAUUGCACGAUGGGCGAAAGCCUGAUGCAGCAACGCCGCGUGCGGGAUGACGGCCUUCGGGUUGUAAACCGCUUUCGCCUGUGACGAAGCGUGAAUGACGGUAAUGGGUAAAGAAGCACCGGCUAACUACGUG
rnacentral:rRNA from 1 species